GAGCGAGUGACUGAGUGAGUGAGUAGCUGCGCCCCGAACGAGGAGGUGAAAUAUUAAGCGUGGCCAAAGGAUUCGGCGGGGGCCGGGCGGCUGGCGGCGGGCGGUUUAAUCGGCGUGAAAAGGGAGAGCGCGAGCCGAGGCGUUUCCAAAGUUGUUGGACGAGUGAAUUUUACAAGGAAAAAACCUGGAGGCCGGCGACGGGCGAGGGGACGAGGGGCGUGGGACGAGCGUUAAGCGAACGAGAAGGGCGCGGAAUAAAGAGAACAAGAGUGGAAACUGACGGAGAGUUACGGGAGAAAGAGGGUGCCGAGGCGUCGAUUAAAA
rnacentral:misc_RNA from 1 species